GACGAACGCUGGCGGCGUGCCUAACACAUGCAAGUAGAACGCAAAGUCGAUACCUUGGCUUGCUACACCAGUGACGGUGAGUUGCGAAAUGCUGAGUAACGCGUCCUGAACCUGCGUGUAAGCGGGGGAUAACUGUUUGAAACGCGAGCUAAUACCGCGUAAUAUUACUUAUUGCAUGAGAAUUUAUUGAAAUGUGCAAUGGCGCCACUACCAGAUGGAGCUGCGUGGUAUUAGCUAGGAUGUGAGGUAACGGCUCACCUAGGCGAAGAUACAGAGCCGACCUGGGAGGGUGAACGGGCACACUGGGACUGAGACAAGGGCCAGGAUCCUACGGGAGGCAGCAGUAGGGAAUCUUCGGCAAUGGAGGAAAGUCUGGCUGAAGAAAGGCGCGUGAGUGAAGAAGGGUUUCGGAGCGGAAAGCUAUGUUGUUCCGGAAGAAAAGCUGUGGCACUGGAAAGGUCACAGUAUGACGGUAUCGUACGAGAAAGGAACGGCUAACUACGUG
rnacentral:rRNA from 1 species